rnacentral:tRNA from 1 species
UGGGGUGUAGCUCAGUGGUAGAGUUCUUGCUUCACAUGUGUGAGGCCCUGGAUUAGAUUCUCAGCACCUCAU